AAUAGAGGGGAGAGAAUAAGUUUUUUAGAAAGAUUGAAGAGCGAGCUUCAUGCUUCGGGAGGGAGAAAAAAGACAGAGAAUUGGAUUUUUUUUUCUUCAUAGGAUUUUGGAAAGACUGAGGCAAUCGUUACUGAAGACACUGUUGUAAUGGUGAAUUGGGAUUUUUAAUGAAGUGGGUGUGAUUACUCUUGAUUGUUUUGUAAAAUCAAAGUUACGUCU
rnacentral:lncRNA from 1 species